rnacentral:tRNA from 1 species
GGGCAUCUGGCAAAGCUUCGAGCCGCAGCCUGGCGAGCCGCUUGGUGCAACCGCUGCGCAAGGCGACGGUGCGGAGGCCGCUGAUGCGCC